rnacentral:rRNA from 1 species
UACGUGGGGGGCUAGCGUUGUCCGGAAUCAUUGGGCGUAAAGCGCGUGUAGGCGGCCUUCUAAGUCGAACGUGAAAUCCCUGGGCUCAACCCAGGAACUGCGUCCGAUACUGGAAGGCUUGAAUCCGGGAGAGGGAUGCGGAAUUCCAGGUGUAGCGGUGAAAUGCGUAGAUAUCUGGAGGAACACCGGUGGCGAAGGCGGCAUCCUGGACCGGUAUUGACGCUGAGGCGCGAAAGCCAGGGGAGCAAACGGG